AUAAAGGCUGUGUCUUAAACAUGCACAAUUCAGGUUCAGGGACAUACCAGUUCCUCUGCAGAGCUAUAUUCACUGUCUAUUUAGUGGAAGACAAACUGAGGCAUCAAGGAUACAUCCCACGGUGAACCAAGAUGGAGAAAGUCUUCGCCCGUGGGGAGCACUGCUGCAACCAUUUGACCACAGUGCUAUACCCUUCUCCAGCCUGCAAAACUAGAAAAGCUGGAAGCUUCCCAAGAUUCCUUGGAAAUGGGUGGGGUUUGGUGCUCCGGUGAAAGGUUAUCUUGUCAGGCACCCUGCCAGGCUCUCCAUGACGCGGUGAUCGUCCCUGGGAUUUCAGAAGGACAAUACUGAGGGACAGGGGGAGAACAAAUUGCUUUGGACCAUCUCCUGGGCAAAAGAAGAGUGACACCAGCUCAUCCUGGAAAUCUCUGCUUGGAGGGAGAGGGAGACACAUUGUGAUGCACAGCCCUGGACCUCUUGGUUUCUCCAGCUAUGUCUGUGCAGUGAGGGCCGAGGAGACAUUCCCCAGGGAUGCCUCCUUCCGCAAAAGCAGCUGAUUCAGGUUGCCCUGGCUGGAGCAGGGAGUUGAUCAGAGAUCCCUCCUACUAGAGAUUCAUCUCCCACACAACAACAGGCUGAGAAAAUUGGUGUUCUUGAUCCUGGAAAAGCCUGGACCAUACAGUAAAAGAUUGUGUUGUCUUCCAGCCCCAUCCUUGGAAACACCAGCCCCUGUCCCAAGAUCGUGGCAUCAGGUACUCCAGGCUGGGCGUGGACUGCCAGGCUUGAAGAACCAUGUUUUACUUCUGCUUCCUCCAUCUUCUCCGUACGAAGACUGAGAAAGACAGGUUUUGGGCUGUGCAUUGUGAGCCAAGACACUGCCUUCCCAGGGCUUGAUAAAAGUGACCACUGCGAAACCCUAGUGAGGAGCAGUGUAUAGUCGACAACUGGAGCCACAGUGAUGAGGUCCCGGUUGCUCUGUCUGUGUCUGAUAUAGCUGAGCUCUUUGCUGUAUUAUUGUCUUUCCUGCUGGCUGGAGCUUCCCUUAGUCCUGGGAAGGAUCAGGCAGACACCAUGGAGAGGUCAUACCCUUUGGGGUCUUGCUAGCCCAGUCAACAAGUCAACAUCCUUGCAGAAGGAUCCUCCAGUUGUACGUACACCCAUAUGAAUUGAGAUGUGUUGUCAGGAAGAGUGUUUUUGGAUCUCACCCAAGGAAUUUAGUGCUGUGUCUACUGGGCCAGGAGGCCAGAUAUGACACAACUUCUUUCCAAUGCAUUCCUCCAAAACCCCGUUUUCCCACUCCUUCGUUAAUAGAUUUGGGGAGC